rnacentral:lncRNA from 1 species
AUUAUUUUUGCCUUCUCUUUACCUUUUAUUUUCUCUUUAAGCCCUUUUUCCAGCCUCCUCCUCUGCAUCCAUCUCUGCACAGGAUUGUGCAAAUUUUAAAUACAAAAUUAACAUUAUCAGACAAGAACAUGCUGUCUGUGUACUCCCUUCUCCACCACUAGCUCUCUACCUCCAGUCCUUCAUUUCAGUCUGACUAUUUUAUCUGUCUAAUCUUUCAACUCUUUCCCCUUGAUGAUUUCCCUUCUUCCACCUUCUGGCAUCUUCUUCCCUGUUUCCCUUAUCUUUAGCUACUCUUUCAUUUGUCUCUUUUCUUUCUGCAAGCCUAAAACUGCAACAUAAAAACAUUAAAGUACAAACUAUCCUAAGGGUUGUUAUAGCUUAAACCUUGCAAUAUCUUGUGGCAAAAAGUCACACCCAAGGACAAUGUUAUUGCACAAUUUAUAAUCCAGAAAUGAUUUUAUUAUGAGAACAGUCAUCCUGGGAUCCUUUCCAAGAUUUGUUAAGUAAGCUAACUAGUGGCUAGGUAUACACCUAUUAUAGCUCUGUUUUUUCUUUACAGCUUUGUCACACUAAUAUGAGAUGAGUGUUAGCUGGGGAAAGGAUGGAAUCAACCCCAUCAGCAACAGAUCCCAUGCCUACUAUUUUGAACACCUGUGCAGUGACUUUCAGAAAAUUUGUCAUCACCCACUUCAACAGAUGACCUGUUCAAAGAAUUUCCCUGAGGGGCUGGACGAAAGGAAAAGAAAGCAAGUAUAUAGAGCUUAUAGUGAAGAAGAGAUUCUGGAGCACGUCCAGCAUUGUCAAGCACUGAAUUUGAAGUGCUGAUUAAGGAGUUUGCCUUGUUGCUGGAAUUUGCUACAGAGGCGAAAGCACUGUUGAUAAGUCUGGAUGGUGUAGAUGAGUUGUCAGAGGAGUAUGGAGCUGACUUUUCCUGGAUACUCACUGAGCUACCUGAAAAUGUCUAUUUUAUUGUUUCUACAUCUACAGAAUCAAACUGCUCAUCUUUGAAAACACUGCAAGUAAAAUAAUGCAUCUAAUAAUGAAUUUAAUGGUGUUAAUAUUUAGCAUGUGAUACUUGUUUUUAAAUUUUUGUUUUACGUAUUUUUUUUUUAUUAAAGGAAUAAUGAGAUGUGGUUAUAAUUGUUUGAAAAACUUUCCUAAUCAAAACAAACAGUUAAAAAAGAAAAAGAGAUAAUAUAAAACCAUCUCUAUCCUGAUCCCCACACCACUAAAGAAAUCAUUCCAAUUAUUU